AGUUGCAGGGUAUAGACCCGAAACCCGGUGAUCUAGCCAUGGGCAGGUUGAAGGUUGGGUAACACUAACUGGAGGACCGAACCGACUAAUGUUGAAAAAUUAGCGGAUGACCUGUGGCUGGGGGUGAAAGGCCAAUCAAACCGGGAGAUAGCUGGUUCUCCCCGAAAGCUAUUUAGGUAGCGCCUCGUGAACUCAUCUCCGGGGGUAGAGCACUGUUUCGGCUAGGGGGCCAUCCCGGCUUACCAAC
rnacentral:rRNA from 1 species